GAGAUUAAACCACGUUUAAUCAUCUUUAUAUAUCUGCCAUGUGUUGGGUAUUUUCCUUGCUUGAGUUGUGUAACCAAAUGUCAUUGUCAUGCAUGCAAGUCCUUGUGUUAUUGUAUUACCGGUAGUGCCGCGACACAUAUAGUAAUUUUUGCAGCAACGGAAAGGAAAUAUUCUUUUAACCGAUAUUUUAUUGAUGAUGUUCAAACACCUGAAGCUAAAGUAUACAUACUCAUGGAUUUCUUGAUAGUCAAGC